rnacentral:lncRNA from 1 species
AGAGCGGACGCCGAGGCCGAGGAGGCGCCGAGAGCGAGUGAGAGCUGCUAGCAGGUUGUCACCUCUCAUAAGGAGGUCCACAUUUGCUGAAAUGUAACUCUUACCUCACGCACUGGGAGUGAUGAACUUCACUAGGAAAUCAUCGUUCUUUCUGGAAUUAGACGAUAUAAGCUGCAGCUCAGAAUCAGAGGAGCUUUAAUAUAUAGUUGACACUUGAACAACAUGGAUCUGAACUACACAAGUCCACUUGUUGGUGGAUUUUCUUCAGCCUCUGCCACCCUUGAGACAACAAGACCAAUACCUCCUCUUUUUCCUUCUCCUCAGCCUACUCAACCUGAAGAUGGUGAGAAUGAAGACCUUUAUGAUCAUCCACUUCUACUUGUUGAAUAGUAAAUAUAUUUUUUCCUUAUGGUUUUCUUAAUAACACUUUCCUUUCUCUUGAUUACUUUAUUGCCAGAA